rnacentral:lncRNA from 1 species
CUGGGGUGCACGGUGGGGAAAUGGGGGGAUCCAGCAGAAAAGAGCAUCGCCCUGCCCUGCAGGGAGCUCUGGGCUGUGGGUUUGGCUGCAGGGACGGGAUGCAUGGCUCCAGACCCAGCAGCCCCCCCCUUCCCAGCUCCAUCCUCUUGCCCAGUGCCACGCUGCAGUGGGGACACUGCUUUGCCCGGGAGCUGUCACCCAGAGCCUUCCCGCACCUCUGCAGUGAAGGGGGGCCAUGGUGCUCGCUUCCAGCUCGGCGGCGAGGUUGCCACGGAAACUGAUACUGUUGAUUUUUAUAAACCCAGCUGGUGACAUCGGUGCUGCCUUCUGCCCUGGGAGUCAUUCCCCAGAAGCGGCAGGUGUGGGGCAGAUGUGGGGCAGCUAUUUCUCCCCCUCGCCAUACGCCCCGCUGCUGCCCACCGCUGUGUGGAGGCUACCCCAGCCCUUUUUGCAGCCUUCCCAGGGAUGUUCAAGGGACACUUUAGUAGGACAUCAGAUGGCACCUGCACUCCUCCCCAUCAGAAACACCCCCUUGGCAAACACCACCUCCAGCUCUCCCCUCUCCAUGUCACCAACCCAAUGUUGCCUGGGCAGGAGGGACAGCAGAGGAGAUCCGAUGCCCACGAGCACCCUUCUGGAAGAGGGUCAAGCAGAGACCGAGGACUGUGCAGCUGAAUUCAGUGCUGGACAAGGGACCCCUCCACAACAGGACCCCCCUUCCCUGUGCUAACAAAGUUCCCACAAUGUCACCUCAAACUGCCAACAGAAGAAAAAGCAUAAUGAGAAUAUACACAUGCCACAUUGCUAUUCUAGGGAUGUGUUAAAAUAAGAAUAUUCAUGGGAAAUCAUUUGUUUAUCCAAGUAGCCUUGAGCAUUCAUCAGUGAAGAAAUGAACCUGUAGUAGCCAUGAGUCAAUAUUUGUCCAAUAUUAGAGGAGAGGAAGUGGUCAUUUUUGGGCAUUAAAACAGUCAUCAUGCUUUGAAUUCAGAGAAAUCUGUGUGGUUCCCUGCUGUGGUUUAAAAAAAAAACAAAACACCCCAAUCUUUGUAAAUACUGAAUGUCACAUCAAGGACAGAGGGCGCAGGAGCUAAGAGGCUAUUCUCGUUGUGUUUACACACUGAGCAUUUUCAUGCUAAAUUGGCUUUGGGAUGCAGGUGCCAGAUGAAAAUCACCCUGGCCAUGUGAUGCUAAUUGCUUACGCAGAGCAGAAGCACACUGCUGGUUUAAAUUCACUCUGAAGACGUGGAUGGGUUAGCUCCGUGCCGGGCCAGGCGCCGUGUCCACACCAGCGUGCUCUUUAAGCCCCCAGCCAGCUCACAGCCUCCUCCACCAGCCCCUUCUCACCCGCUGGGUGCACCACACCUGAUGGCUCCAUCCUCCGUAGGCAUAGACUUGGCACCCUGUGCUGGGGCUUUCUCAAGUGCUUGCAGGAGCUCGGCUUUUUUUGUCUUGUUACAGGUCUUUGCAGCAGGCUCGGUCUUGCACCAGGUCUCUGCACACAACGACUUUGCACUGGCUGCUCACGGCGGGGUUAGCACUUUCUGCCUUGCACUGUGCUGUCACCAGACCCCAUCGCGCGUUAUCCGCAGCAACAGCAAGGCACUGGCAGCAGAGCCAGGCUUCCUCAGAGCAGUUUUUCUUGCCUAAAAAGCAUUGGCAGCUCUGUGCAAAGCCUCGCAGCUGAGGAGAUGGGCACACAUCACCGCCCAGAGAGCUAUUUUGCAGUGGCAAGGGCAGGGAGAGGAGCGCGCAGUGAUGAGCAGGUCUUAUGCAAACAGCUGUAAAGGGGCUGCACCGCAGCUGCCGUGUGCCGGAGCCAGGUGGUGAGAGCACAGAAGGGCACCAGGAAAUAGCUGCGAGUGCUGCAGAACCCAGCACUCCUGCUGGGAAGCCUCUCCAGCUGCCAGCGCCGCUGCCUCUGCCCUGCAUCCGCAGCCCCUUUUUCCCCACACCUGGCCCACCCUGCCUGCCACGCUCAGCUGAUGGGCACCACGGUGACCCCAGGACCUUGCACAGCACCAGGAUGCUGCCCACACCUGUCCCCUCCCUUUGCUGCCUCAGCUUUGCUGUUCCCAUUUUCUGGGCUUGCACUUCAUGACCAAGCAGGACUUGGCUCUCAAGAAACCUUUGCAUUAGAAAGCUUCAUCAACAAAGGGGCUGCAGGUCAAUGUCCUGAGCAGAAAAUGUGCAGAAUAGCUUUAUUGUUUCCCCCCAUUAUUGCACAAUGACAAUUUGUAUCUAGGUGGAAGAUAAAACAGCGUUGCUAAGUGUUUCAGGUUUUCCUUUUUAAUUUUUUUUGCAUGAUCUUUGCUUAAAUCUGAGGUCACUCGGCUCCUCUUUGAGGUACCUUAAAUUCCUUCUGCUUCCUCUGUCCACAGAGAAAGCUAAGAAAACAAGGAAGAUCCCCACCUACAGAGGGAAACAGCCCUUUUCACCUCCCCUGCCAUGCAGCAGCAAUUCUUGGGUGUACAGCAUCGCACCCAUGGGUGCUCAAUGGGUGCAAAUGCUUUCAGGAGCCAGAGCUGCAUCUCUGCACUGAAGGCACUGGGGUGAAAACGCAGCGUGGAGCACACAAAGCAUCAUGUCUGGCUGGGGAUGGGGUGCACACAGCUGAUCCCUGCUGGGCAGGGGGUGCACACAGAACCCCUGGUACCUGCGGGGUGUUGAGGAGGCAACGCUGAUCAAAUCAUUGCCAUUUCCCAAUUAGCAGGAACAAGCUGCCAUGCCAGUCUGGAAAAGCAGCAGAGAUGGGGGUGCCCAAGUCCAAAACGUGGAGCAGCUCCUGCUUGGUGCAAAAAGGCAAAAGCAGCCUUAUUCUUAGCAUAUUCUUCCCCUUGCCACCCAAAAGCAGCAGAUCCACGCACUCAGUCAGUCGUUUCACCACUGGGUGUUUGCCGCAGCACAUGGCGCUCUGCAUCUAGCAACAACUGCCAGCAAAAACACAGCGUGCUGCUGCUCCCCCCACUCCCGCUGUGACCCCACAGCCGCAGCUCACGCCGACACAAAUCCCUUUCAGGAGGUGACCCAGCAGCAGCACCCGGCCAAGGCAGCACCACGCAGGGGAGCACAGCUCCGGCAGAUUGAUGGAGAAACUAUUAGAGGCACAGAGACCUGCUGGGUCACACUGGGAGCUGCAGGUAAUAUGAUUUUUUUUCCCUUCCAUCUCAUAUUCCUGAUAGUUUUCUUGCUGUUUUUGAGCUCUUGCUAUACAGUCUGUGUUCCAGCUCCCAUUUUCUUCCUCCCUGCCCCAUCCUGGGGAAGGAAGCACUGUGGGCAGAGGUGUGUGCAUGGGAAGAGCCGCCCUGAUCCAGGCUGGGCACGCUGCAUCCCGCUGUCCCGGCUGGCUGCACGCCGUGCCUCCAGGCACCAGCCUCCCUUCUCGGCUGCAGCCGAGCGGUUCUCUCUCUCUCAGACUGGGCUGGAGGCUCCAAUUCUCUUAUCUACCACAAUUAUCCCGGCAGACCCGAUUCAUCUCCAUCGCCUUCAGUUCUGGUUCCUCCGGGAGCAGUAUCAGGGAUAGCCGGUGACAAACAGCCUCCUUAAGGCAAAGGAUGAUUUUGAACAAAAAUAGAGUAGUGCUUAGAAGAAACAAUCCAAAAAAAAAAAAAAAAAAAAAGAAAAGAAAAGAAAAAAAAAGAAAAAGAAACACACACACAAAAACACCACCAGCUUCUCCCCCUCUGCAUCCUGAAGCACAAAGCCAGGAACCAAUCUCCCUACUGUGCCCCCUGUAAAAUGCAGCACUGCAUCCUGCAGUGACCAAGGGCAGCCACAUCCAGCAGCAAGCACCUUGGCACCAAAGGGCAUGGGGGCUGACUCCAGGCAUUUCAUCCUUCACCAGGAAGCUGCCACUCCUGAUGAGCAGAUCAGGCUGAUACUUUGCAAUUAUACGGAGGAAAACAUGCACAGACCCAUCAGACUCCUCCUCAGCAGCACGUCUGAUACUGAAGUCAAUGGGAGCUGCAUUGACUUUGCCAGCCCAUGGUCAGGUCCUGAAGCUGCCAGCAUUUACUGCUCAAGAGCCUGUUCCUUGCAGGGUCAGUGACUGCCUUGCUAAAGUUCCCCUCCGUGGUUCCUCAGAGCCUGUCUGCUACCUCCUGCUUCUCCAUCCCAAUUCUGUAUUAGAGAGGCUCUCUGGACCCAACUGAAAUAUAAUAAUUCAAUAAUAUGCAACAUUACACAUAGGUUUCGUUCAUUUUCACACUCACAGGAUCUGUAAAAUCUAAAAUAAGGCAUCGUCUUCAAACUGUCAUCCUGCCCAGCAACAACAAAUUUAAACAAAAAGGUAAAAUAUUUUAAAUCAAAACCUGUGAAUUACUUCAAACAAUCGUAUUCAGCUUAUUAUUCACAUUUCAGGGUACGGUUCCUGCAGUAAAUUAAUACAACAUAAGCUUGCAAUAUUUCCGAUAGGCUGAUAUGGCAGCAUUUCUCAUUUCAAUUAGGAAGAAUAGUGCAAUUAGAUUCCUCGGCUUUGUCUGGAAAGGAAGCGUGUUAUUUCCUUGGGGUGAAGAUCUUACCAGCACUCACAUCCUUGGGAUCUUCUGCCAGGUUAGCCCUUAAGCAAACUGAUUGCCAGUGGAAGUUGGGGAAAGGAUUUAUUAAUGUUUUCUCCAAAUAAUCCCCUCUACCCCAGAAGGGAGAAGGGAAUCAGACUUGUCUCAGCACCGUUAUUCUUCAUUUCCCAGCUUGCUGAGUUCCUCCUUACAGGUCUGGUCCAGGCCCAAGGAAGGUGGAGGACACACCACUGCACCUCCUCUGUGCAUUAACCACCAAACUGUGAAGGGAUUCUUCACCAAAAUUUGGCAUCCAAAUGUCACAGGACCACCAGUGGUGCAGUCCCUUCAAGGGAAAAGCAAGGUCAAGAAAAAAAAAUAAAAUAUUUUUUUCUUAAAAGAAUCCUCA